AAUCCUUAGCGGGUUGAGGCCUCAGCCCUGCACAAGGGGAACGCGCGCAUGCUCCGCUGUACUUAUUGACCUCUGCGGAAGCCAUGCCCAGUCCUCGGAUCUUAAAGGGCUAGAAGCAGCUUCGGUUCCUUGCACUUUUGCUGGGAAGGGGUGCGCAGGCGCAGUGAGGAGUGCUCCAGUUGGAGUAGUCGUCGCGUAUUAAGUUGCUGCUCUCUGUCCCAGCAGAGGAAGCUAGAGUGCUGAGCGUCCGACCACCAAUUUGCACCUCACUAGAUCCACUGGACCAGAAAAGUUUGUGAAUAGGGGUUCCCGAGUUUUGGGAUACCCAGGCUUGCAGCGUAGGGGGACGGAGGAGGCUGGAGGGAGCUCCCCACAUGGAGCCCACUCAGCUUGCAGAGAACCUUAUCCCAAACCAGCAGUCCCCUGCUCCUGAACUUGAGGAUCCUGAGGACGCCAGAGACGAAUCCCCAGACAGCUCAGAUACUGUGGUCCUCAGUCUGUUCCCCUGCACCCCAGAGGCUGUGAAUCCUGAAGCAGAUGCCAGUGCAUCCUCAUUACAUGGCAGCUUCUUGAAGCACUCAACAACCCUCACAAACCGGCAGCGUGGGAAUGAGGUCUCGGCGCUGCCAGCUACCCUGGAUUCUCUGUCCAUCCACCAGCUUGCAGCCCAAGGGGAGCUGAGCCAACUGAAGGACCAUCUGCGGAAGGGUGACAACCUGAUCAACAAACCAGAUGAACGUGGCUUCACCCCCCUCAUCUGGGCUUCAGCCUUUGGAGAAAUUGAGACAGUUCGCUCCCUGCUAGACUGGGGUGCUGACCCUCACAUCUUGGCCAAGGAGAGGGAGAGCGCCCUGUCGCUUGCCAGCAUGGGCGGUUACACCGACAUUGUGAGGUUGUUGCUUGAACGUGACGUGGACAUCAACAUCUAUGACUGGAACGGGGGGACACCACUACUUUACGCUGUGCGUGGGAACCAUGUGAAGUGUGUGGAGGCCUUACUGGCCCGGGGUGCUGACCUCACCACAGAGGCCGACUCUGGCUACACCCCAAUGGACCUCGCCGUGGCCCUGGGAUACCGCAAAGCACCCGCAGGUGGUAGAUGACCACACGGCCAAAAAAGUCGGUGGUGUCCUCAAAGGUCAACUUCAGUCGAUCCACCUCUACAGUGGGGAUGGAGAAGGUUUGAAGAGCGUUGCUGUCCUCAGGGUAGAGGUCCACAAUCUUGCUGAGGGUGCCCCCGCCCUUUGAACCUGCAGUGGAGAAAGACAAGCUGAGAAUCCAGGGAACCCCUUUGACACCCACCUCUCACGACCUUCCAGUACCUUCCAAGCAGCUGUGGCGACUGGAGAAGCCGCCCUGGAACUGCACCUGCAGCUGUGUGACGUGAACACGCUGGGGAAACUCGAGUGUCACCCACUGGGAGGGGCCCUGGAAGCAGAUGGGUACUUGGUAACCGCAGGGUAAGGGCCUAUUAUGCUCUGCUCACCUGUCAAGUCCCACGGCCACAGCCAGUCCAGGGAGAGUGAGCGCGCAGUCAUUUCUAGUUCUCCCCAAAUUUCUCAAGGCACCCUGCACCCCGAAUGUGCUUCACACUCGGAAUGGAGGGGCGUGGUAGCGCCUCACCUGGUCAGAGUUCCAGCACGUCUCCUCAUCCUGGUCAAAAAGAUGUUUCUUCCCAAACUGCCGGCUGUUGCGAUGAAGCACAGAACUCACCCUGCAGGACAGGAGCAGGGCUAGGGGCCUCGGCACGACUGUGAGCCACCCUCCAGGCCAGCCAGCCCCUCCCGCAAGAACUCCGCCACCACCAGUCUGGAACAAGACCACCAGUCCUCGCCCCCGCCAGGGACACGGCCGCCUGGCUCCGCCCCCAGCCUGCCCCUACCCGACACCAGGUCGGGACCCUAGAUCUCACCUGGCCUCACCACCACUGCUCAGCUCCCAGUUCAUCCGCCCCGAGUCCCACAGUCCUUGAGUCUCACCUGCUCACGGUCUCGGGGCAAACCAAAGACUGGCUCAUCUCGGCUCUGCGACGCCUUGCCCAGAGCUCAGCGCGAGUUCGAACUCCGGCGCUGCCACUCCCCACUUGACCCAGGUGACAAGGCGGGUGAUCCGGGAACCGGAGAGAGACAGAAGCAGCUGCCUAAACUUUACAACCUAGCCCAAGUCUUUCCGCAGAUCUGCGAACCCCACACCAAGACCCGGAACCGCGUGCGGACAGCGCACGCGCAGUGUAGCCAGGACCACCCCUACCCCCACCCCCGAGGUGCUGGGGCGGGGUUUGUGGCGACUUCGCUUCGCCUCUUAAAGAGCCCGCACCCCGAGGUUUCUCAUUCCGUGGAGCUGGAGGGAAAACGCAGGCAGUCCCCCUGCCGGAUACAAAACGUUCUCACACAGCCGUCUUGUGAUCGUGUCUCCUGCGGAGGGCCUCCCUCGCCGCGGAUGCAAUCCAGCUUCCCCAGCAGGGUUUGGUGGGCGCCUGCCGUCCCUCGGGAGGCUAAGCAGGAGGAUUGCAUGUUUCAUGCCAACAUGGACAAUUCAGCAAGAUGUCUCAAAAAUUUUUUUUGGUAUAUAAUAUAUUCCUUAAUUUAU